rnacentral:rRNA from 1 species
AUUGAACGCUGGCGGCAGGCUUAACACAUGCAAGUCGAGCGAGCGGCGGACGGGAGUGUAAUGUCUGGGAAAAUGCCAGAUGGAGGGGGAUAACUACUGGAAACGGUAGCUAAUACCGCAUACCAUCAGAUGUGCCCAGAUGGGAUUAGCUAGUAGGUGGGGUAAUGGCUCACCAAGGCGACGAUCCCUAGCUGGUCUGCGAGGAUGACCAGCCACACUGGAACUGAGACACGGUCCAGACUCCUACGGGAGGCAGCAGUGGGGAAUAUUGCACAAUGGGCGCAAGCCUGAGGCAGCCAUGCCGCGUGUGUGAAGAAGGCCUUCGGGUUGUAAAGCACUGUCAGCGAGGAGGCGUUACUCGCAGAGGAAGCACCGGCUAACUCCGUGCCAGCAGCCGCGGUAAUAC